rnacentral:rRNA from 1 species
UGAGGAAUAUUGGUCAAUGGGCGCAGGCCUGAACCAGCCAAGUCGCGUGAGGGAUGACGGUCCUACGGAUUGUAAACCUCUUUUGUCGGGGAGUAACGUGCGGGACGGGUCCCGUAUUGAGAGUACCCGAAGAAAAAGCAUCGGCUAACUCCGUGCCAGCAGCCGCGGUAAUACGGAGGAUGCGAGCGUUAUCCGGAUUUAUUGGGUUUAAAGGGUGCGUAGGCGGCUUUGCAAGUCAGCGGUGAAAGGCCCGGGCUCAACCCGGAAAGUGCCGUUGAUACUGUGAGGCUGGAAUGCGGAUGCUGUGGGAGGAAUGAGUGGUGUAGCGGUGAAAUGCAUAGAUAUCACUCAGAACACCGAUUGCGAAGGCAUCUCACAAAUCCGCAAUUGACGCUGAGGCACGAAAGCGUGGGGAUCGAACAGGAUUAGAUACCCUGGGUAGU